GCAGGACGCUUGCGGUUGGGAGGAGACCCUGAGGAGAACAGAGGCUGCCUGUUAACGGUGGAACCAGCAGAAACUACUGUUCCAAGGUGAAAGUAGGCUCAAGGAGGACGUGUGGAUCAGCCUUUUACACAGCUCUUGACGAAAAACCCAGAAAGGAGUGGAUAAAGAGACACUUUUGCCCCUAAGUCUCUUCAGUCACUGGCACAAGGUGUAAGAAGAAACCCCUGGAGACAAUUUGCCUCAGAGAACUUGUGUGUAAAUUCCCAAGGAGACUGAAGGAUCUUCAUAACUUUUGUGAGCAUGUGUGAGUCUGUAUGAGUGUGUGUACAUGCAUGUGCGUAUACGUGUAAGCGUGUGUGGGAAGGCCAGAGGACAACCUCAGAUACAGGCCAUUAGGAGGCUCAUGUCUCGUUUGAAGCAUGGUCUCUCACCAGCAGGAACUCAGUAGGUAGGCUAAGCUGGCUGGGCAAUGAGUCCCAACAGCUCUCCGAUCUCUACCUGCUCAGUGUGCCCCACUAUAGCUGGCUUUUCUGGCAUGGGUUCUGGGGAUGAAAUUGAAGUCCUCAUGCUUACAAGACAAGCACUUUACUAGCUGAGCCAUCUUCCCAGCUUCCCCAACUCUUAGGAAUGCUAGGCAAGUGCUCUGUGGCGUGUCUGUGUAACUGCUAACUGGAAAGUUGGUGGCUCUUCCCAAGUACAGGGCACAGCCAAGGUUGGGAGACAUACUCUAUACCCAGGUCCACCUCGGGGAUGCCGCUCAGCAUCUGGUUGGACAGCAUCUCCUCCGUCUUCUUAGCAGAGGAGACACGGAUGUUCUCUGGUAGCUCAUAGAGGCAGUCCUCAGCAUUCUUAGGCUUGGCCUUCUGUUCCUCUUGCUCCACAAUCCCCUUCCUCUUCUUCAGCUCUGUCUCAAUGUAUUUCAUCCUGAGAAGGGACCACAGGAUCAGGGGGCCAGAAAGCCACAACAGGUACCUACUUGUUAGCAUUUUUUUAAAGAUGAACUUUUUUUAUUUUAUUUUAUGUAUAUAUCUAUGUGUGAGAGCAUGUAUACCACAACACAUGGAAGUCGGAGGACAACUUGUAGGAGUUGAUUCUCUCCUCCCACUAUGUGGGUUCUGGAGACUGAACACAGUCAUAAGGCUGGUGACAGAUGUCUUUACUCAUUGAGCCAUGUCACCUAUCAAUAUGAGGAAAAAUUUUUUGAAGGCAGUUCUCAUUAUGAAGCCCUAGCUAGCCUCGAACUCUUUAUUUAUAUAGACCACGCUGACCUUGAACUCAGAGAUCUGCUUGCAUCUAUUUCUCAAGUGUCAGGAUUAAAUUCAUGUGUCCACACACCUGUCUCCAAUGAGGAAAUUAUCAGUUCAUGGAGAAAGUAAGAAAAAUAAAAAUACCUGGAGUUUGUUUUUGACAGUC